rnacentral:tRNA from 1 species
GCCCGAGUGGCGGAAUAGGUAGACGCGACGGUCUCAAAAACCGUUGAGGUAACUCGUGCCGGUUCGAUUCCGGCCUCGGGUA